ACAUUUUCUUAUUAUUAUUUUGUUUUGCUUUUGGCAUUUUCUAGCAACUUUCCUUCCGAAAUAUGCUGUUAUUUCAAUAACUUUUCCAGACUGGAUGAAGCUGUGUGGACAUGGUCCUAUCUGGAUAAUUUGGAAAGGCUGCUGGCAUCUACAAACUAUGAGCUGAAGAAUGAUUUCACUGUGGUUCUUCAGACAUCUCUCCAAGAAAAUGGCAGGCAAGAAAAAGACUAUUUCACAGAGAAGAUACCCAUGAAGAUCACAGGGAAGGAGUUAGCUGUGACUGCUCUAGGAGUCGGACUCUGGAAUAAUAUGGUACGAUUCAUGGAAAUGUUGGGAUAAUUGAACAAAUGGCAUUCCACAAAUGCAUGGGUUUCUAGGUGAAUGGCUCCUAGCAUCACUCACCAAAGAAGAUGUAGGAAAGCACAGGAAAGUUAUAGGUGGAAAAUACAAGUGAUAUGGACCCUGCAUAUGAUUCCGAAUGAGGCAAAAUGGAUUUUAAUAAAAGCCUUGUCUAGAAGCAUUCUGGGUCUAUUGGAGAAGGCACCACUGAAGAAUCAGAGCAGCAAUGAGGAUAUUUUUUUGAUAAAAUUAUUAACUGUUGGAAACUGUGAUAACAGGAGAAAUAUUUUGUUUGAUUUACAUGUUCUACAUUUAAUAUCCUUAAAAACCCCAUUGAAAUACUUUCUGAACAAACAGAAAUGUUGUAAUUAUAUUUUAAAUGACUAGAUAACUUUGGAGCCCCCAGUGGCACAAUGGGUUAAACCACUGAACUGCCGCACUUGUUGACACUUUCCCAUGUGUAUUUUGGGUACAUGGAGAAUUUG